rnacentral:rRNA from 1 species
AUUGAACGCUGGCGGCAGGCCUAACACAUGCAAGUCGAACGAGUGGCGGACGGGUGAGUAAUGUCUGGGAAACUGCCCGAUGGAGGGGGAUAACUACUGGAAACGGUAGCUAAUACCGCAUACCAUCGGAUGUGCCCAGAUGGGAUUAGCUAGUAGGUGGGGUAACGGCUCACCUAGGCGACGAUCCCAAGCUGGUCUGAGAGGAUGACCAGCCACACUGGAACUGUGACACGGUCCAGACUCCUACGGGAGGCAGCAGUGGGGAAUAUUGCACAAUGGUGGCAAGCCUGAUACAGCCAUGCCGCGUGUAUGAAGAAGGCCUUCGGGUUGUAAAGUACUUUCAGCGAGGAGGCGUUACCCGCAGUAGAAGCACCGGCUAACUCCGUGCCAGCGGCCGCGGUGAUAC